AUCUAGUAUAUACUGGGCGUCUUGCUGCAUUGUUGAGUUCAUCCUCAUUCUAGUGAUUUUUAUUUUUUCUGUUGCUGCUUUAGAGAGUAUCUAUUUGUUCCCAUACUUUUAAUUUACCCUAGUUGGAAUAUAUGGAAACAUCUAUCUAAAAGGAUAAAUAAUAAAGAAAUAAUAUUUUAUCUCUUCUACAAUUCCAGGCUUUGUUUGGACUACUUUUGCUUGUGUAUAUACCUACUUUGGAUCCUUAUUCGGGUUAUACCCCUGUUCGGAGUGCCUUGGUUGUUGAUACUGCAUAUGAAGAACUGCCCGGAGGAGAGCAGAUAUGUCCUGAAAGGCAUGCAAACAUAUUGUUAAGAAUCCUUUUUUCUUGGAUGAAUCCUAUCAUGAAUCUAGGAUAUCAAAGACCCCUUACAGAGAAAGAUAUAUGGAAGUUAGAUACAUGGGAUCGGACUGAGACAUUGAAUGAAAAGUUCCAGAGAUAUUGGGUAGAAGAAUCUCGAAGGUCGAAACCUUGGCUUUUAAGAGCAUUGAAUGCAAGCCUUGGUGGGAGGUAUGACCGAUUUGUGUUGAACAUGAUAGAGUGUAGAAGAUAGAUAGAUAUUUUCUGGUGUUACUUUAUGAUCACUUGCAUAAGUUGAGAGUUGAGACCAUCAAUAAUGGCUCAUAAUGAGAGGGCAGAUAUUGAAGUAAAAUGGUGUUUGGCACUGAUAAGUUAAUCUUGGCCGAUAAACUUAGACACCUCUAUCUUCUUCUGUGUAGUAAAAUUAGUUCGUGAUGAUGAAACCACUUAUUGUACAAUAUAUAACUGAAUGUUCUUUACUUCUUUUUUUUUCCUGGCUUUGUUUAUUUUUGUUCAUGUAUCUCAUUUGUGUUUAUGCGUUCAUAUAUCUUUGUGCUUUGGUUUUCUUGUGCUUUACAGGUUUUGGUGGGGAGAAUUUUGGAAGGUAAUGUUCUAUUUCUUUUGUUUAUAUAAUCAUUUCAUUUGGUCGCUUUCAAUAUUUACAUGUUUUAUUAUGUU